rnacentral:lncRNA from 1 species
AAUCUUACUUUUGUAGCUGGGACUUCCCCUUAUCUUAUGAAGUGGAAUGAAGGUUUUAUUCUGCUUGGUACUCAGUUUGCAGGAGGAGUGUUCCUGGGCAUUGCUCUGCUGCAGUUUCUUCGUGAUUCGAAUGAGUUUUUUGAUAAGUUGAGCUCAGAUGAUUACCCUUUUGCGUUUGUGCUGGCUGUUUCUGGGUAUUUGUUGACAAUGUUGGCGGAUUGUGUGUGUGUUUAUGUGUACAGAAAGCGAAAAUGUAGAGAGACUGGUAAUGCUUUGAAGCUCUUCUUUGUUAUUUAGGUUUGCUAAAUAUAUGGUGCAGUUGUUUUAUGUGCUCUUGUUGUGUUUUGAAUUGCAUUGUGUUCGUUUUGUGUUUUGAAUUGCAUUGUGUUCGUUCAAUUAAGUAAUACUGUUUGAAAUUAGAGUACCUUCAUUGCAAUGUUGGGAAAAUCCUUGUGUGUUCAGUGCUGUUAGUAUAAUCUCAUGUUUGUUUUGCAAAGGGGUUGGACUCUUUAAUCCCCAAUAAAACGAGGUCGAAAGGGGUCACAAUUAGUCCUCUUUAACGCGUAAGAUUAUUAAUCUUUCUGAUUCCCGGACUAUAAUCCCACAUAAGUUUUUAUGAAACAAAGGAUUAUUCUCUAGUUCCAGGGAACCUUAAGUGACGCUGUGACGCCUUUGAUCAAGAAUUUACACACUCUUGGUAUUUAGAUUAUUCCAGUGACUGAAGUCCAAAGGUUCGAACUAUGAUUAAGCCCUGAUUAUCAUAAGAAAAAUACUCUGUAAUAUAUUUAUGAACGCAUAGUAGCAGUUGCUAGGGGUUAACACUGGGUCUGCCAGUUCUAAGAUUAUGCACAUUAGGACCUGAUGCUUACCAGGUAACCGAUUUCUUGUAUAUUUCCUUGUUUGUAGCUGCACAGCAAAGAAAAUCUAACACAAACGUAGCCAGCAGUAGCACUGGGACCUCACAAUCACGCAAUCAGGUAAUGAAUAAGCAAUGUAUUUUUCACCUGCAAAAUUGUUACUAGGUUGUUCAUAUUCUGUGUCAAGUUAGUUGAAAUUUCCACAGAUAAGCUACCUGGUUCUAUCAUUGAUAAAAAAGACCAUCUCAAUAGACAUUCCUAUUGAUGGAAUAGUGAUAAUCUCAAUUUGUAAAAUAACCUUAAGCUGAAAUUCCGAGAAAGCACGAAGCUCUCUACUCCAAGAACAAUGGAACGGAGAAAAAGAAAAAGUAGCAGGGGUUAAAAUUUACAAUAAGAGACUAAUUAGCAAGAAGAAUUUUACUAGUACUAAACCAUGACAAGGGGGGCCUCGUAUUUGAUUCCGUAUCUCAUCUUUCUUAUGAAAUCGUCGCAUUUCUUGUUAAGUUCCUCUGUACUCCAUAGCAUAAUUUGUUCUUCCUCGUCCUCUUCUUCUUCUUCUUGUUCUCCGUGUUCUUCGUGUUCUUGUUGUUCGUCGACAAUAUCAAGAAGAUCAUCGAUGACCUCUUCAGCUGUAGAUGUCAGAAAUUCAGCAGCCUGAUCCAAUUCUGUUAUUCCUAUUGUUGUUUCAACUUCAGCGUUCGUCUCUGCAUCAGCUUCGGGAAGAUCAUCAAUUUGUGGCCUAAUAUUCUUCAUAUUAUUUGAUUCCAAAAAUUGAUUAUAAGCCACAUUGUUAUUUAAAUGUGCAUUUUCGCGGAUUAAAUCGGAUUGAUGAUGCGAGUGGACAUGGUGCCUGACAACAUGACUAUUAUUAAGGAUAGUGGUCCUGCAUACUGCUGCAUUGGUCCCAUUUUGUUGCUGUCUCUCUGAGUCCUUGUUUGUCCUUGUCUGUUAGGCUGUUAUUUGUUUCCUCUACUCGUGUCCUGCGCGACCGUUACUUUUGUUUCCUAGUAUCUCUACCUAAAUAGCAAGCUGUAUCAUAGCUGUGCUAGGCUAUAUAUAACCCUUGUAUGCAGCACUCUUUAUGAGCAAGAAAGGAAUAUAAUUUCCAACUUAACUUUUGUGCUCUCAGCCUUUUCUCUUCUGCAUCUCAGCUUCUAUAUCAGUCUUUUAGAGCUUAAUUUAUAAAGCUCAUCAUGGUAUCAGAGCCAGGUUCCUAAAGAACUGAUUUGCAGUUGAUUCACAUCUCAUUCCUUUCUUCACUGAUUAUAUACACCAGAUCCUAAAAACCUUUUUCUCCUUUUCAAACAUUCAUUCCAAGAUCCACUUCCAACAAUGGCAAAUGGAAAUGGAAGAAUAUCUUUCCAAGACAUGUUAAACCCACUUUUUUUACACCCAUCUGACAAUGCUGCAUCAAUCCAAGUUGACAAACUACAAGGAUCGGCAGAUUACAGGACAUGGAAAAGAACCAUGGAAAUUAACCUGGCUUCAAAGCGUAAGCUGGGGUUUGUUACUGGUACUGUCCCAGUUCCAGAUGAUGAUGAACAGAAGGCAGAGCUCUGGGAGACCUGCAAUAACAUGGUAAUAGCAUGGAUUACCUUUAAUCUAUCUCCAACUAUUCGUAGAUCUGUUAUGUAUAUGACUACAGCCCAUGAAAUUUGGCUUAAUCUUGAAAAGCGUUUUUCUGUCACUAACGGAUCUAGAAAAUACAAGUUGAAUAGAGAACUCUAUGAAAUUAAACAAAAUCAUAUGAGUGUCAAUGAUUAUUACACUAUGAUGAAAUCUUUGUGGGAAGAACUUGAUUCCAUAAAUAUAUUGCCUGCUGUUAACUCACCUAGUGCAGAAGUUACCAAGCUUCUCACUACUAUUGAUGCUCAAAGAGAAGAGUGCAAACUAUUCCAGUUUUUGAAUGGGGUUGAUGAAAGCUAUAACCCACAGAGGAGCCACUUGUUGAUGCUCACUCCUCUGCCCACCGUUGAAAUUGCGUGUGCUGCGUUGAUGCAAGAAGAAGCACAACGUGAUGUUCUUCAAUCAUCAGUCAAGGUCGAGGACCCUGUGUCUGCUUUGUAUGGAAAGGCAACUCCUAGACCUUCAAACCCGGAUAGACCUGUGCCUAACUGCACUGCGUGUGGGGGUCGAGGGCACACUGCUGAAAGAUGUUGGACAGUUGUGGGAUACCCACCUUGGCACUCGAGACAUGACCCAAACAAACCCUCACCAAAACCAAAAUCCAGACCACCAAACAAAUGGAACUCUACCCCUCAACCACAUCGAAUGGCAGCCACCUCCCAAGUAGUAGAAACACCUCAACUUCCUGCAAUUUUUUCACCUCAACAACUCGAACAACUAGCCAAACUUCUCCCUCAAAUACAACUAAACACAACCCAGCUGCCCGACACAGAUGACGAAUUAGAACACUUCUCAGGAAUGAUUACCUCCCUCAACUCAUCCACUACACCUCAAGAAUGGAUAAUUGAUAGUGGAGCCUCUGACCAUAUGACCCCUUGCAUAAACCAACUUCACUCUGUCCAAACUAUUACCACACCAGUUCACACUAACUUACCCAACGGUACUCAAGCCCAAAUAACCCACAUGGGUACUGUUAAACUUGACACUGGCUUGCUCCUCCAGAAAGUUCUCUAUGUUCCAAACUUCAAACACAGCCUCCUGUCUGUUCAGAAAAUGGUCAAAGACUCGAAAUGCCUUUUUCAGUUCUAUCCAACUCACUGCUUGAUUGUUGAUUCCGUUUCUGGAAAUGUGCUUGGGGUUGGCGAAGCCAGAAACGGGUUGUAUUACUUGAUAAACCACAAGACCCGACAACUACCAUCGACUUGGUUUGCUGCUACAAAUAUGCCAUCGAGUCUCAAUGCUGCCUCAACUGUGUCGUUAGAAGUCUGGCACCACAGAUUGGGCCAUGCUCCUGUACCCAACAUCAAGCAUAUCCCACAAUUGUCAAAUCUUAAAUCUCCAGAUAAGGUAUGCAUUUCGUGUCCUCUGGCUAAGUUCACUCAUUUACCAUACAACCUCAGUGACUCUCAUGCUGUGUCUCGAUUUGAUCUUAUCCACAUUGAUAUAUGGGGGCCCUAUAAAGUGUUUACUAAGGGCAAAUUCAAAUUUUUUCUAACGAUUGUUGAUGACAAUACUCGAUACACUUGGGUAUACUUGUUGCAACACAAAUCUGAUGCUUUACAGACUCUGGAAAUAUUCUUUCUAUAUGUGAAGAACCACUUUGAGGCUGACAUUAAGGUUCUUCGCUCGGACAAUGCUCUGGAAUUUGACACAACACACUGUCAACAAUUCUUCAACAAACAUGGUGUUCUCCAUGAGACUUCUUGUGUCUAUCGCCCACAGCAAAAUGCCCGAGUUGAAAGGAAGCAUCGCCAUAUACUGGAAGUGGCUCGUUCCUUAAGAUUUCAAGCCAAUUUGCCGUUAGAAUUCUGGGGUGACUGUGUCUUAACGGCUGUCUACUUAAUCAACCGCCUUCCGUCAACUGUCUUGCAGCAAAAAACCCCAUAUGAAGCACUUUACAGAUCUCCCCCGGACUAUGACGAAUUACGAGUGUUCGGUUGUCUUGCCUUUGCCUCCAACCCAACAAUUUUAGGGGACAAAUUCUCAAAAAGGGGAGUCCCAUGUGCUUUUAUGGGAUACCCUCCACUCAAGAAGGGAUACAAGCUUCUUAACCUCUCCACUAUGCAGCCAUUCAUCUCUCGAGAUGUCAAAUUUGUGGAAUCAGUCUUCCCAUUCCACCCUAAUUCCACCUCUUCAUAUAUGCAGCCUCUACCACCUCAAACCAUUCCUACUCCACCUCCUGUUAUCUUAGAUGAUGAAUACAUCCUCACACCUACAUCACAGAACACUCCACCCUCAUCAUCAUCUCCUACAAACACCCCCACACCCCCAUCCGAACCACUCAACCUUUCUCCUGUUAUUCGCAGAAGCAACCGCCCUCAUAACCCCCCUGCUUGGCAAAAAGACUUUGUCACUCAAACCUCCCAUAUCUCCAAUUUGGCUGAUACAGAAGUUGCCCCAACCUUUAACAGCUUCAUGACCAGUCUCACUGCUGUGGCAGACCCUGUUCAUUUUAAACACGCUGUCCAUUCUCCACACUGGAUUCAAGCUAUGAACUCUGAAUUAGACGCCCUCGAACGAAAUGACACCUGGAUACUCACUACCCUUCCACCAAACAAAACUGCUAUUACCUGCAAAUGGAUUUUCAAAACCAAACUUCAUCCUGAUGGCACAUUAGAGCGUUAUAAGGCUCGACUCGUUAUUAUGGGCUGCAAACAGAAGCCCGGGGAAGACUAUGAUCAGACUUUCGCCCCAGUGGCAAAACUCACCACUGUGCGCACUUUACUUGCUGUUGCAGCCACACAAGAUUGGAUAGCCAUUCAGAUGGAUGUCUCGAACGCAUUCUUACACGGUGAUCUGUUGGAAGACAUUUACAUGAAACUCCCCCCAGGGUAUACUCAUUAUGGUUGUCGAAUGGACUCAACUUAUGCCACUGCCAUCCCCACGCCAACCACCACCCUUGUCUGUAAGCUGAAGAAAACACUAUAUGGGUUAAAACAGUCACCUAGGCUGUGGUUCCACAAACUUACUUCUACUCUCCUGCAAGACGGCUUCCUUCAAUCCAAAGCGGAUUACAGCCUCUUCACAAAGACAAGUGACACCACUAUCACGAACAUUCUCAUCUAUGUGGAUGAUCUCAUGAUAUGUGGAAACAGUGCUACUGAAAUUGACAAGCUGAAAUCCAUGCUCUCCUCUCACUUUCAUAUGAAGGACCUGGGCACCCUUCGCUACUUCCUUGGAAUAGAAAUUGACAGAUCACCAUCAGGUUUCUUCAUCUCCCAAGCCAAAUACACACUCGAUUUACUAAAGGAAUAUGGUCUGUUAAAUGCCAAACCCCUGAAACUUCCAAUGGAUUCCCAUCUCAAACUCACACAUGACAAAGGUGAUAUCUUACCUGAUCCUUCACCUUACCAACGCCUAGUAGGGAAGCUGAUUUACCUCACAAUUACUCGUCCAGACAUAUCCUUCACUAUACAACUUCUAAGUCAAUUUAUGCACCAACCUACAACUGUUCAUAUGCAGGCUGGUAAAAGACUUCUGCGAUAUCUAUGUGGCUCUCCCCAUCAGGGCAUUCUCCUGGCAUCAUCUUCAGCAGCUGAAUUAACAGCAUUUUGCGAUAGCGAUUGGGCCGGAUGUCCAAUCACCAGAAAAUCUACCACUGGGUAUUUUUCGGAUCAUCGCCCAUUUCAUGGAAGUCUAAGAAGCAAUCUGUCACUGCUCGUUCCUCUGCCGAAGCCGAAUACCGUGCAAUGGCACUAACCACCUGUGAAGUUACAUGGCUUGCUGCUCUACUUAAAGACUUGGGUGUCAAAAAGCUUCCGCCAACCAUCCUCAACUGUGACAAUCAGGCUGCCCUAGCAAUAGCAGCCAACCCUGUUUUACACGAAAAAACCAAACAUAUUGAGAUUGACUGCCACUAUGUGCGCGACAAAAUCAAAGAUGGCACCAUAACAACUGCUCAUGUUCCGUCCAAAGACCAAGUUGCUGAUAUUCUCACCAAGAUUCUCCCAGUUCAACAGCAUCAGCAGAUUCUCAGCAAACUUGGAGCUACUCUCUGUUCUCGCUCCUCAGUUUGAAGGGGAGUAUUAAGGAUAGUGGUCCUGCAUACUGCUGCAUUGGUCCCAUUUUGUUGCUGUCUCUCUGAGUCCUUGUUUGUCCUUGUCUGUUAGGCUGUUAUUUGUUUCCUCUACUCGUGUCCUGCGCGACCGUUACUUUUGUUUCCUAGUAUCUCUACCUAAAUAGCAAGCUGUAUCAUAGCUGUGCUAGGCUAUAUAUAACCCUUGUAUGCAGCACUCUUUAUGAGCAAGAAAGGAAUAUAAUUUCCAACUUAACUUUUGUGCUCUCAGCCUUUUCUCUUCUGCAUCUCAGCUUCUAUAUCAGUCUUUUAGAGCUUAAUUUAUAAAGCUCAUCAACUAUCGCGAUAAAAUUCAGUGACAGGAGUGGCAGGAGAGGCGAGAAAGCCGGAGGUUUUGAUGACGAGAAGCAUAAUUCCAUUGCAGAUAAGGAAUAUGUAGUGUCUGUCAGUAGCGGAGAAGCUCAGAAUUUUGAUGGAAUAUAAAUCAGAAAGAAGUGAAGAGUAUUGGGAAGCUAUGAUGGCUAAUGCAGAAAGUGAAAGCAGGAGUUGAAGUGCCUUGCUUGAGGAAUUGAUUUGGCUAAAAAUUGGGUCCAUUUUUCUCGUUCGGCUCGGACAAAACUCGACUCGGAAAAAGUGUUUCUAUGGAUUGUUACAAGAGAAGAUGGAUGAAGAAUGGAAAUGUGUGAUGCCUUUUCUAAAAUGUUGAGUCACUUAUAUACAGGAAGUUGUGUACAUACUGUACUAGUGUCCAUGACAAGUUUUUCAAGCAUUGUACCCCACUUGGCACAUUUUCAAUAUAUAAUUAUCAAACUUGUCUGGAAAUAUUAUAAUAUCUUUGUCAUUGUCGUGGGAUUUACAUAUUUCUAUCCUACUCAAUAAUGAAUAUAAUAAAUGGUUUUCUAUUUAUCACACAAAUGUUACAUUUAUUGAUAUAAUUUGGUUGCCAUUUUUUCUCAUCAGGCAUGAGAAUCAAUCAGCCAGACGAGGGUGAUUAGUAUAUACAUAUUUUUAAACAAAUACUUGUUUUUAUUAAGUAAUGAAUAAUAAACAUUUUUUCAGUAUUUGGCUUUCUUAAAAAUUACAUAAAUCAUAUAUUUUUCUCGUGUUAACCCGUGUAAAAAUAAUUAAAAUAUUUUCAACUCUUAAUGCAUGAUAAAAAUAGCUGUGUUUAUCAUUUCUCACCUAUAAAUUUUGUAUUCAAAUAUAAAAUAAUAACAAUAAUGAUAAUACAAUAUAUUUUAAUCAAAUUUUGUAUAAGAGAGUGAUGUCAAAGAAAAAUACAUUUUUGGUGGAAAAGUUUUUUGUAGUCGGUACAAUUUAUAAAAUAUAUUAUCAAAAAAAGUUAUAAAAUGUUUAUGGUUGACUAAAAAUCCUGUAAACAAUUUUUGUAAAAAUGGCGAUCCUGCAUCACGGUGUUCAUGAACGAUUUCACCUGCAUAAACAAUGUCUCAAGGAAAGCUAACAAAAUGUUUUAUAUAUCGACACAGAAACAAUCUGAAAUUGAAGGAACAAAGAUUUAAAAUAAGAAAUGGUCUCUUCAGGAGUUGACUGACUUAUAAAUUGUGGGGCGAGGAGGAGACCCGAGUGAGUAUACGUGCAACUUCAGUGAAGCUUCCAACAAAGUUUGGCCACGACAAUUUGAUGAAUGUAAUUAAUUUCAAGCAUAUAAUGUUCAUACUUAACAAAUAUUUUUGCUCCCUAAAUUCAAACCAAGGUUGUUAUACCAAACCGAAAUCUAAUAAUUUUUGUCGCACACAAAUAUUUGUUAAAACAAAUGAAAGUUUAAAUUUGGAAAAAUAUAAAAUAGAGAAUAAAUUUCAACGGUGACAAGAGCACUAAUACUACUACAAUAAUCGGCUAACACUACUAAUAUAACUGCAGAGAGAAGUGCCGAACACUGCUACAAUAAUCGGCUAACAUUACUAAUAUAAUUGUGCAGUGUAAUGGAAUUUAUCAACGAAACCGUCUUUAAUUGUGGAAGAAAUAACGACUAAUAAAAGGAUAUUGAUAUUUGUCAACCGUAAUUUAUCGAUGAAAUUUAAUUGUCGUUAAUGUUGACAUGAAAACUCCCACACAGUUGUCCCGAUAAUUAGUUUUGAAAUUUGUAAUGGACUCGACCACCACCCCUUGGAUUGAAAUGAAGAAGAAAACAAGAAUGGCAGACAAGCUCUGCAUGGCUCUGUUCACUCGUGACAUUAUUUUACAAUCAUUUACCAAACCUCAGAACAGAAACUGACAUUUUUUUACUACUUUUACCCACCGAAUCUUGAAAUGCAUUCGAGCAAAAUUUGCAAUGCCCCGUUAUUUACUCCAGGCCACACCAGACUUGAGAUCCAGAUCAUUAGUACUUAUCAAAAUAUGGUCUUUGAUUAUUGUGUUCAAUCUUACUUUCAUAGCUGGGACUUCACCUUAUCUUAUGAAGUGGAAUGAAGGUUUUAUUCUGCUUGGUACUCAGUUUGCGGGAGGAGUGUUCUUGGGCAUUGCUUUGCUGCAGUUUCUUCGUGAUUCGAAUGAGUUUUUUGACAAGUUGGGCUCAGAUGAUUACCCUUUUGCGUUCAUGCUGGCUGUUUCUGGGUAUUUGUUGACAAUGUUGGCGGAUUGUGUGUGUGUUUAUGUGUACAGAAAGCGAAAAU